rnacentral:ncRNA from 1 species
UUUCGUGAGGAAUCGUCUGAAGGAAGCCUGAGCGCAAAACUGCGAGCCUACGGACAGAAACGUCAUAGAAGGCCUAGUCUCUGGGGUGAGUGGGCACAAGAUCACAAAACCCGUGGUUCAGGAGAUAAGGUAAAUGGCGAGGUUGUGCAGUGACAGUUCAU